AGUUACAGUAAUUGCUGAUAUUUGAAACUCUUUAGCCGAGAGAACACCAGAGCAAGAAGACAGAGCAUCAGUUUUGGAGUUGCAAUGAGUCCCUAGAAAGCUCUCACGAGUUUUGUUUUAGAUUUUGCAGACCUCCACCACCUCUCUAUUCGCCCCUGUUCCGCCAGAGGGUAGUCCGGAAAGCUCAGAUCUCAGUCGAGAUUUCUUCCCCCCAUAGCCCGGACCAUCGGUGGAGAUGCUCCCGGGACUUUUGAGUUCUCCGUUCGAUCGUUGUUCGUGACCUUCUGCUGCAUCUCCGAGGAUGUCGUAACCCUGCCUACAGCGGCUGUUCGUCAUUGCCGAGCUGCUCUGGAAUUUUCCUGCUUGUCCCUGUUUUUGGAGUGCCAUUGUUGAAUGAAAAGUUCGACCAGUUGCUGCCAUCGACUCCUUCGCAAAUUCAAGCCUUCUAGAGCGCCUCGGUGAUUGUUUUGUUCAAAGCCAUCAGCCGUCGCUGCAGGUGUUUCUCAUCGCUAGCCUAGUUAGCUGGUAGUCUCAGCAGAGUCAAACUAAAGUGGAUGAGCUAGUUAUUAAAAACCGGGGUUUCAUCAGUUUGAUAUGGGAAACCUUCAGCAUGUCUUAUAUAAAGAAGUCAGAAAGACAUUGAGCUAGCAGUCCUUUAGCAGAUGGAUGUGGAACAGAUGCCUGUCGAAAAAGCUGAAGGAGAUGCUAAUGCUACUGGGUUGCUAGAGAGAGGGUACUUGCAGUACGAAUGUCCUCAUUACUAGUGAAGGUGCAACAUUACAGCCCCCUGUUGCAGAAAGAUCUUCAAUUGCCAUCACUAUCAUAAUGAUGUGAAGGUGAUCCCUUCUGCCCUUCUUAGACUUAAGAACGCUUGGUAACUUCCUUUGUCAUGACAUGAAGAAGGCAUUAGAUAUAUAUCUAGGAGAUACUUUAAGCUUAGUCCAUAGAUUGCAAUUAAAGUUUUACUUGCCAUACAUUAGAGAAUGAUCAUCAACCAAAUGGAGGCAAUGC